GGCAAAGAGUCUAGAGGAGGUCAUAGAGAAGCUUGUAGAUAUUGUCCACUUCUUACACUUGGAGAUUCAUGAUGCCUUUGGAACUGCUGAGGAAGAAGGAUGCGGGAUUGAUAUUUUGAGGGGC